CGCGUAGGCUGUGCUGUAAGUCAGGCGUGAAAGGCCCGGGCUCAACCUGGGAACUGCGCAUGAUACUGCGGCGCUUGAAGACGGGAGAGGAUGGCGGAAUUUCCCAGUGUAGAGGUGAAAUUCGUAGAUAUUGGGAAGAACACCGGUGGCGAAGGCGGCCAUCUGGCCCGUGAUUGACGCUGAGGCGCGAAAGCGUGGGGAGCAAACAGGAUUAGAUACCCUGGUAGUCCACGCCGUAAACGAUGAGUGCUAGACGUCGGGGAGCUUGCUCUUCGGUGUCGCCGCUAACGCAUUAAGCACUCCGCCUGGGGAGUACGGUCGCAAGAUUAAA
rnacentral:rRNA from 1 species